rnacentral:rRNA from 1 species
UACGGAGGAUGCAAGCGUUAUCCGGAAUGAUUGGGCGUAAAGCGUCCGCAGGUGGCUGUGUAAGUCUGCUGUCAAAGAGCGAAGCUCAACUUCGUAAAGGCAGUGGAAACUACACGGCUAGAGUGCGUUCGGGGCAGAGGGAAUUCCUGGUGUAGCGGUGAAAUGCGUAGAGAUCAGGAAGAACACCGGUGGCGAAAGCGCUCUGCUGGACCUUAACUGACACUGAGGGACGAAAGCUAGGGGAGCGAAUGGG